UGAGUUCUUCAGGGAAUUUAGAACUGAAGUGAAAGUAUGUGUUUCUUCACUUGAAGUUUUUCUAGGAAAACAUGGAAAAGCGCACAUUCUUAGGUUUGGCAUCACACAGUCUGUUAAUAGAUGCUUUCUAAAGUGGAAUUCUUUUAUUGUAUAAUCAUUUGCAUGUAGCUAAUGGCUAAUGGGGUGUAUUCAACUGAGUCUACAGGUUCUCAGCUUUCUAAACUAGGUUUGGCCAAUUAUUUGUCAAGCUUGAACUUGUCUCGAGCUUGACUGAGGCUUAAGAAGCCUUAUCGAAGCUUGGUUUGAUUUUAUUACACUCAAGCUUGAGUUUGUCUUUAUUAAAUAUUUGUGCUGAUUGUAUCUCUCAAGCCAAGCCAAACCACCAAAAGAUAAAUAUUAAAAGCUUUAAUCUGAUUAUUUGAAGUCUUAUCCUACAAGGAUAGCCCAAGGCCCAAGUAGGGAGGACUAUCAGUCUAUCAGAUACAUGAGAAUUCAAAGUAGGGGGCUCCUAUUAAAUGAAAAGGAA
rnacentral:misc_RNA from 1 species